GCUCCCGUAGCUCAGUCGGAUAGAGCGAUCGCCUCCUAAGCGAUAGGCCGUGCGUUCGAAUCGCGCCGGGAGCACCA
rnacentral:tRNA from 1 species